GUAGGGAAUAUUGGACAAUGGGGGCAACCCUGAUCCAGCGACGCCGCGUGAGUGAUGAAGGCCUUCGGGUCGUAAAGCUCUGUUGCAGGGGAAGAACACAAUGACGGUACCCUGCUAGAAAGGAUCGGCUAACUUCGUGCCAGCAGCCGCGGUAAGACGAGGGAUCCUAGCGUUGCUCGGAAUCAUUGGGCGUAAAGAGGGCGUAGGUGGCUUGGUAAGUCAGGUGUGAAAGCCCAGGGCUCAACCCUGGAAGUGCAUUUGAUACUGCUGAGCUUGAGUGUCGGAGAGGUUACCGGAAUACCUGGUGUAGUGGUGAAAUACGUAGAUAUCAGGUGGAACACCGGAGGCGAAGGCGGGUAACUGGACGAACACUGACACUGAGGCCCGAAAGCGUGGGGAUCAAACAGGAUUAGAAACCCGAGUAGUCC
rnacentral:rRNA from 1 species